rnacentral:rRNA from 1 species
GACGAACGCUGGCGGCGUGCUUAACACAUGCAAGUCGAGCGGAGCGGCGUACGGGUGAGUAACGCGUGAGUAACUGCCCCCCUGCCUGGGAUAACAGUUGGAAACGGCUGCUAAUCCCGGAUAGUGGGGGAUGACUCGCGUCCUAUCAGCUUGUUGGUGAGGUAGUGGCUUACCAAGGCGACGACGGGUAGCCGGCCUGAGCGGGCGACCGGCCACAUUGGGUUGAGAGACGGCCCAGACUCCUACGGGAGGCAGCGGUGGUGAAUCUUGCACAAUGGGGGAAACCCUUCUGCAGCAACGCCGCGUGCGGGAUGACGGCCUUCGGGUUGUAAACCGCUUUCAGCCAUGACGCGGUAGUGGCAGAAGAAGCACCGGCUAACUACGUGCCAGCAGCCGCGGUAAUUC